rnacentral:rRNA from 1 species
GAGUUUGAUCAUGGCUCAGGACGAACGCUGGCGGCGCGCUUAACACAUGCAAGUCGAGCGAGAACCAGUCCUUCGGGAAUGGGGACAGCGGCGAACGGGUGAGUAACACGUGGGUAAUCUGCCCUCGAUUCUGGGAUAGCCCGGGGAAACCCGGAUUAAUACCGGAUAGCCUCUCUGGUCUUCGGGCCGGCGAGAAAAGGUAGCUUCGGCCUCCGAUCGAGGAUGAGCCCGCGGCGGAUUAGCUUGUUGGUGGGGUAAUGGCCCACCAAGGCGACGAUCCGUAGCUGGUCUGAGAGGACGAUCAGCCACACUGGGACUGAGACACGGCCCAGACUCCUACGGGAGGCAGCAGUGGGGAAUCUUGCCCAAUGGACGAAAGUCUGAGGCAGCGACGCCGCGUGGGGGAAGAAGGCCUUCGGGUUGUAAACCUCUUUCAGCAGGGACGAAGCUACUCGGGUGAAUAGCCCAGAGGGUGACGGUACCUGCAGAAGAAGCCCCGGCUAACUACGUGCCAGCAGCCGCGGUAAUACGUAGGGGGCAAGCGUUGUCCGGAUUUAUUGGGCGUAAAGAGCGUGUAGGCGGCCAGACAGGUCCGUUGUGAAAACUAGAGGCUCAACCUCUAGACGUCGAUGGAAACCGUCUGGCUAGAGUCCGGAAGA